UUAGUUGGUAAAUCUGAAAUUUUUCUUUCAAGUAGGUGUUCUAUUUGAUUUAUAUAUAUGUGAUUUUGUAUGAUUACAUGCUUGACUUUGCGAUUGAUUUCAGAAUUUCAUUGUUGUUCUGUUUGCCUUUUGCAGGUUUGAUGCGAAAAAGUGUGCAACUGAUUGUUUUGGCGCUGUUCCUUUGUCUGUUGAAGCUCCCACAGUUAGAAUCUGUUCCUCAGUUGACAGUACAAACUUCUGUGGAAAACAGUUUCUCUUAUGCAGAUUCUAUUUGUUCCCCGAUUUCAUAUCUGGAUAAGUCACUGCUGCUAUUUCAAGGUAUAGCUGUCAAUU